rnacentral:lncRNA from 1 species
CAAGUUUAAUGAGCCCAGUUGGUAAAUACUCCAUCCUGUUACAUUGUUUUUGUUGCAUGAACUGGUUAUGGUUUUCAUCUUAUUGUGGAUCAAUCUUGCAUUUAACCAAGUUAAACGAAAAGCACCAGUUCAUAUUAGCUGAUUUGCAAUUGGCGCCUUCUGCAGAAAAAUGCAGAUCUGAUGUUUGGAGGUAUUACUAUCGUAUGUGGAAUAUUUGGAACCUUAGCAGGAGGCUUUGUUCUGGAUCGAAUGACUUCCACAACAUCCAAUGCCUUUAAGGUAGACAUUUUGCAUUCUGAAGGUUUUCUUUUUAAUAUCUAAAUAAAUGACUUCCACAAUAUCCAAUGCCUUUAAGGUAGACAUUUUGCAUUCUGAAGGUUUUCUUUUUAAUAUCUAAAUCCUUAUAAACAAAUAACAAUAUCUAAAUCUCUUCUUAUUUAAUCCUGUGUUUAGUUCCAAUAUCAUGUCCAUUUAAUCUGACAUCAACUGGACUUUCUCAAACAAGGGUUGUGAACCUUGGCGUGAUUGGUUUUGAGGAAGAGGGAAUAUUGGUGUUUGGAUUUUUUGCUGGAAGGAUGAACAAGCCCCUCUUAUUAGGAAUUUUGUAAUGCAUUAGUAAGGGUACUUAAAGAGAAUUAGAAAAUAGGUACAAUACUAACAUACUACCUUCAUUGAGUAUGUUGGCAAC